GGAGUUAGCCGGUGCUUCUUCUGUGAGUGAUGUCCUUCCUGCCGGCUAUUAACCCGCAGGCCUUCUUCCUCACUGAAAGUGCUUUACAACCCGAAGGCCUUCUUCACACACGCGGCAUGGCUGGAUCAGGGUUUGCCCCCAUUGUCCAAUAUUCCCCACUGCUGCCUCCCGUAGGAGUCUGGGCCGUGUCUCAGUCCCAGUGUGGCUGAUCAUCCUCUCAGACCAGCUACGGAUCGUCGCCUUGGUGAGCCGUUACCUCACCAACCAGCUAAUCCGACAUAGGCUCAUCCGAUAGCGCGAGGCCCGAAGGUCCCCCGNUUUCCCCCGUAGGGCGUAUGCGGUAUUAGCCUGGGUUUCCCCAGGUUAUCCCCCACUACCGGGAAGAUUCCUAUGCAUUACUCACCCGUCCGCCGCUCGCCACCAGGGAGCAAGCUCCCCGUGCUGCCGCUCGACUUGCAUGUGUUAGGCCUGCCGCCAGCGUUCAAUCUGAGCCAGAAUCGAACCCUGA
rnacentral:rRNA from 1 species